rnacentral:rRNA from 1 species
UACGAAGGGUGCAAGCGUUAAUCGGAAUUACUGGGCGUAAAGCGUGCGCAGGCGGUUUUGUAAGUCAGGUGUGAAAGCCCCGGGCUCAACCUGGGAAUUGCAUUUGAAACUACAAGGCUAGAGUGUGUCAGAGGGGGGUAGAAUUCCACGUGUAGCAGUGAAAUGCGUAGAGAUGUGGAGGAAUACCGAUGGCGAAGGCAGCCCCCUGGGAUAACACUGACGCUCAUGCACGAAAGCGUGGGGAGCAAACAGG